AUUGAACGCUGGCGGCAGGCCUAACACAUGCAAGUCGAGCGGAUGAAGGGAGCUUGCUCCUGGAUUCAGCGGCGGACGGGUGAGUAAUGCCUAGGAAUCUGCCUGGUAGUGGGGGAUAACGUCCGGAAACGGGCGCUAAUACCGCAUACGUCCUGAGGGAGAAAGGGGGGGAUCUUCGGACCUCACGCUAUCAGAUGAGCCUAGGUCGGAUUAGCUAGUUGGUGGGGUAAAGGCCUACCAAGGCGACGAUCCGUAACUGGUCUGAGAGGAUGAUCAGUCACACUGGAACUGAGACACGGUCCAGACUCCUACGGGAGGCAGCAGUGGGGAAUAUUGGACAAUGGGCGAAAGCCUGAUCCAGCCAUGCCGCGUGUGUGAAGAAGGUCUUCGGAUUGUAAAGCACUUUAAGUUGGGAGGAAGGGAAGUAAGUUAAUACCUUGCUGUUUUGACGUUACCAACAGAAUAAGCACCGGCUAACUUCGUG
rnacentral:rRNA from 1 species